GCCUCUGUCGGGGGAGGACGUACGCCUCUCUUCUCCCUGUGUCGCUCUCUCACGCUCGCUCCUCGGAACAUUUGAGGCUUUUAGAAAUAUAGAAAAACAAUCAUUUCUCCCCCACAAUAGAAACACAGACAUGUAAUAAGACCAAUAAGAACAUAA
rnacentral:lncRNA from 1 species